rnacentral:rRNA from 1 species
UACGUAGGGUGCAAGCGUUGUCCGGAAUUAUUGGGCGUAAAGAGCUCGUAGGCGGUUUGUUGCGUCGGCUGUGAAAUCCCGCGGCUCAACCUCGGGUCUGCAGUCGAUACGAGCAAACUAGAGUGUUGCAGGGGAGACUGGAAUUCCUGGUGUAGCGGUGAAAUGCGCAGAUAUCAGGAGGAACACCGGUGGCGAAGGCGGGUCUCUGGGCAACAACUGACGCUGAGGAGCGAAAGCGUGGGGAGCGAACAGG